rnacentral:rRNA from 1 species
ACGAACGCUGGCGGCGUGCUUAACACAUGCAAGUCGAACGGAAAGGCCCUGCUUUUGUGGGGUGCUCGAGUGGCGAACGGGUGAGUAACACGUGAGUAACCUGCCCUUGACUUUGGGAUAACUUCAGGAAACUGGGGCUAAUACCGGAUAGGAGCUCCUGCUGCAUGGUGGGGGUUGGAAAGUUUCGGCGGUUGGGGAUGGACUCGCGGCUUAUCAGCUUGUUGGUGGGGUAGUGGCUUACCAAGGCUUUGACGGGUAGCCGGCCUGAGAGGGUGACCGGCCACAUGGGGACUGAGGUACGCCACGGCCCCCGCGGGGGGGCAGCGGGGGGGAAUCUGCCACAGGGGGGGGAGGCCGGAGGCAGCACCGCCGCGUGGGGGGUGACGGCCUUCGGGUUGAAAACCGCUUUCGCCGGGGACGAGGGGGGGGUGAGGGUAGUGGAUAAAGAAGCACCGGCUAACUACGUG